GACGAACGCUGGCGGCGUGCCUAAUGCAUGCAAGUCGCACGCGGCACCUUCGGGUGCUGAGUGGCGAACGGCUGAGGAACACGUGGGGACCUGUCCGGGAGUGGGGGACAACACCGCGAAAGCGGUGCUAAUCCCGCAUACGCUCUGAGGAGGAAAGACGAAAGGCGGUGCCGGGUGGCCCUGCGGCCCAUCAGGUUGGUGGUGGGGUAACAGCCUAACAAGCCAAUGACGGGGCGCCGGUCUGGGAGGACGACCAACCCGCCGGGGACUGGGACACGGCCCAGACACCUACGGGAGGGAGCAGCAAGGAAUUUUAGGCAAUGGGCGCAAGCCUGAACGAGCAACGGCGCGUGCAGGAAGACGGCCUUCGGGUUGUAAACUGCUUUUGCUAGGGAUGACAACAGACAGUACCUGGCGAAUCAGCCCCGGCUAACUCUGUG
rnacentral:rRNA from 1 species